rnacentral:rRNA from 1 species
AUUGAACGCUGGCGGAAUGCUUUACACAUGCAAGUCGAACGGCAGCACGGGUGCUUGCACCUGGUGGCGAGUGGCGAACGGGGGAGUAAUACAUCGGAACGUACCCUGACGUGGGGGAUAACGUAGCGAAAGUUACGCUAAUACCGCAUACGUCCUGAGGGGGAAAGCAGGGGAGCGCAAGACCUUGCGCGUUAGGAGCGGCCGAUGGCAGAUUAGCUAGUUGGUGGGGUAAAGGCCUACCAAGGCGACGAUCUGUAGCGGGUCUGAGAGGACGACCCGCCACACUGGAACUGAGACACGGUCCAGACUCCUACGGGAGGCAGCAGUGGGGAAUUUUGGACAAUGGGCGAAAGCCUGAUCCAGCCAUUCCGCGUGAGUGAAGAAGGCCUUCGGGUUGUGAAGCUCUUUCGGCAGGGAAGAAACGGUUUUGGAUAAUACCCAGAGCUAAUGACGGUACCUGAAGAAGAAGCACCGGCUAACUACGUGCCAGCAGCCGCAGUAA